UCAAUAACAGUUGAAUAUUUUUUUAACAUUUGAUAAUAAAUUUUGACUUUCACCUCUUCCUUUGAAGAUCAGAGUGGUCUGUUCAAAAUCUUUUAACAGAAACUUAUUAAUUAUUAGGUACUUUUCAAUUUAAAAAAAAAGCGGUUUAUCUCACAUUGAUUAAAACCUCAUUUGUUUCUAUUUCUAUGUAAAAAUGAUCAAUAAACUUAAACUUUCUUUUUUUUUACUUCUUCCGUAAAACAUAAAAGGAAGAAUAGAAUUAAAAGAAAAAAAUGAUUUCAUUUCAUUAUUGCUUUAUUUUGCUCUUACCAUUUUACACUAC